GGUUGCCUACGGGAGGCAGCAGUGAGGAAUAUUGGUCAAUGGGCUUACGCCUGAACCAGCCAAGUCGCGUGAGGGAAGACUGCCCUAUGGGUUGUAAACCUCUUUUGUCAGGGAGCAACGCCGGCUACGUGUAGCCGGACUGAGAGUACCUGAAGAAAAAGCAUCGGCUAACUCCGUGCCAGCAGCCGCGGUAAUACGGAGGAUGCGAGCGUUAUCCGGUUUUAUUGGGUUUAAAGGGGGCGUAGGCGGAAUGCCAAGUCA
rnacentral:rRNA from 1 species